rnacentral:rRNA from 1 species
GGGCGUAAAGAGCUCGUAGGUGGUUUGUCGCGUUGUUCGUGAAAUCUCACGGCUUAACUGUGAGCGUGCGGGCGAUACGGGCAGACUUGAGUACUGCAGGGGAGACUGGAAUUCCUGGUGUAGCGGUGGAAUGCGCAGAUAUCAGGAGGAACACCGGUGGCGAAGGCGGGUCUCUGGGCAGUAACUGACGCUGAGGAGCGAAAGCGUGGGGAGCGAACAGGAUUAGAUACCCUGGUAGUCCACGCCGUAGACGGUGGGUACUAGGUGUGGGUUUCCUUCCUUGGGAUCCGUGCCGUAGCUAACGCAUUAAGUACCCCGCCUGGGGAGUACGGCCGCAAGGCUAAAACUCAAAGAAAUUGACGGGGGCCCGCACAAGCGGCGGAGCAUGUGGAUUAGUUCGAUGCAACGCGAAGAACCUUACCUGGGUUUGACAUGCACAGGACGCCGGCAGAGAUGUCGGUUCCCUUGUGGCCUGUGUGCAGGUGGUGCAUGGCUGUCGUCAGCUCGUGUCGUGAGAUGUUGGGUUAAGUCCCGCAACGAGCGCAACCCUUGUCUCAUGUUGCCAGCGGGUAAUGCCGGGGACUCGUGAGAGACUGCCGGGGUCAACUCGGAGGAAGGUGGGGAUGACGUCAAGUCAUCAUGCCCCUUAUGUCCAGGGCUUCACACAUGCUACAAUGGCCGGUACAAAGGGCUGCGAUGCCGCGAGGUUAAGCGAAUCCUUUUAAAGCCGGUCUCAGUUCGGAUCGGGGUCUGCAACUCGACCCCGUGAAGUCGGAGUCGCUAGUAA